UGUGGAAGUAGUUGAUAUACUUGCCUUGC
rnacentral:piRNA from 1 species